AUGGAGGUUCGAUCAUUCUCUUCUCACUCUACCCAAUCGCAUAAAGAACGACCGAAAGCGAUGGAUAUUAAUGUGCUUAUGGUGAAGCUUUCAUGCGCAGGGUUGAUCGGUAGCUUGAAUGGUUUGGGUCAUGGUCAUGCAAACUGUUUUGAUUUUGGCUUUGCAACUUUUAUUCCGACCGAAGCAUGCCGUCACAGCAGAUUUGUUAUAAAAGGAAUGGGUGAGAUGGAUUUGAUAGAGGGUAGUUAUGGUCUGGUACAAGGUUUGGUUGGGUGGAAAUUCUGUUUGACAAAGAAUUUUGGAGGUUGCAAAAAUGGCAUCACGAAGUCAUAA